AACGAACGCUGGCGGCAUGCCUAACACAUGCAAGUCGAACGAGACCUUCGGGUCUAGUGGCGCACGGGUGCGUAACGCGUGGGAACCUGCCCUUAGGUUCGGAAUAACUCCCCGAAAGGGGUGCUAAUACCGGAUAAUGUCUUCGGACCAAAGAUUUAUCGCCUUUGGAUGGGCCCGCGUUGGAUUAGCUAGUUGGUAGGGUAAAAGCCUACCAAGGCGACGAUCCAUAGCUGGUCUGAGAGGAUGAUCAGCGACACUGGGACUGAGACACGGCCCAGACUCCUACGGGAGGCAGGAGUGGGGAAUAUUGGACAAUGGGCGAAAGCCUGAUCCAGCAAUGCCGCGUGAGUGAUGAAGGCCUUAGGGUUGUAAAGCUCUUUUAACCGGGAUGAUAAUGACAGUACCGGGAGAAUAAGCUCCGGCUAACUCCGUG
rnacentral:rRNA from 1 species